GACGUAGGGCGCGAGCGUUGUCCGGAUUUAUUGGGCGUAAAGAGCUCGUAGGCGGCUUGUCGCGUCGUCCGUGAAAACUUGGGGCUCAACCCCAAGCUUGCGGUCGAUACGGGCAGGCUCGAGUUCGGUAGGGGAGACUGGAAUUCCUGGUGUAGCGGUGAAAUGCGCAGAUAUCAGGAGGAACACCGGUGGCGAAGGCGGGUCUCUGGGCCGUAACUGACGCUGAGGAGCGAAAGCUAGGGGAGCAAACGGG
rnacentral:rRNA from 1 species